AAUAGAUACCCCGGUAGUCCACGCCGUAAACGAUGAGUGCUAAGUGUUAGGGGGUUUCCGCCCCUUAGUGCUGCAGCUAACGCAUUAAGCACUCCGCCUGGGGAGUACGGUCGCAAGACUGAAACUCAAAGGAAUUGACGGGGGCCCGCACAAGCGGUGGAGCAUGUGGUUUAAUUCGAAGCAACGCGAAGAACCUUACCAGGUCUUGACAUCCCAUUGACCGCUAUGGAGACAUAGUUUUCCCUUCGGGGACAGUGGUGACAGGUGGUGCAUGGUUGUCGUCAGCUCGUGUCGUGAGAUGUUGGGUUAAGUCCCGCAACGAGCGCAACCCUUGAUCUUAGUUGCCAUCAUUUAGUUGGGCACUCUAAGGUGACUGCCGGUGACAAACCGGAGGAAGGUGGGGAUGACGUCAAAUCAUCAUGCCCCUUAUGACCUGGGCUACACACGUGCUACAAUGGACGGUACAAACGGUUGCCAACCCGCGAGGGGAGCUAAUCCGAUAAAACCGUUCUCAGUUCGGAUUGUAGGCUGCAACUCGCCUAC
rnacentral:rRNA from 1 species